rnacentral:rRNA from 1 species
AACGAACGCUGGCGGCAUGCCUAACACAUGCAAGUCGAACGAGACCUUCGGGUCUAGUGGCGCACGGGUGCGUAACGCGUGGGAACCUGCCCUUAGGUUCGGAAUAACUCCCCGAAAGGGGUGCUAAUACCGGAUAAUGUCUUCGGACCAAAGAUUUAUCGCCUUUGGAUGGGCCCGCGUUGGAUUAGCUAGUUGGUAGGGUAAAAGCCUACCAAGGCGACGAUCCAUAGCUGGUCUGAGAGGAUGAUCAGCCACACUGGGACUGAGACACGGCCCAGAAUCCUACGCGAGGCGGCAGUGGGGGAUAGUGGAACGUGGGCGAAGGCAUGAUCCAGCACGGACGGGUGAGUGAUGAAGGCAUUAGGGUUGUAAAGCUCUUUUACCCAGGAUGAUAAUGACAGUACCGGGUGAAUAAGCUCCGGCUAACUCCGUG